rnacentral:rRNA from 1 species
AUUGAACGCUGGCGGAAUGCUUUACGCAUGCAAGUCGAACGGCAGCACGGGGCAACCUGGUGGCGAGUGGCGAACGGGUGAGUAAUACAUCGGAACGUGCCCAAUCGUGGGGGAUAACGUAGCGAAAGUUACGCUAAUACCGCAUACGAUCUACGGAUGAAAGCGGGGGAUCGCAAGACCUCGCGCGAAUGGAGCGGCCGAUGUCAGAUUAGGUAGUUGGUGGGGUAAAGGCUCACCAAGCCGACGAUCUGUAGCUGGUCUGAGAGGACAACCAGCCACACUGGGACUGAGACACGGCCCAGACUCCUACGGGAGGCAGCAGUGGGGAAUUUUGGACAAUGGGCGCAAGCCUGAUCCAGCCAUUCCGCGUGCAGGAUGAAGGCC